rnacentral:rRNA from 1 species
AGCUCGAUGAGUAGGGCGGGACACGUGGUAUCCUGUCUGAAUAUGGGGGGACCAUCCUCCAAGGCUAAAUACUCCUGACUGACCGAUAGUGAACCAGUACCGUGAGGGAAAGGCGAAAAGAACCCCGGCGAGGGGAGUGAAAAAGAACCUGAAACCGUGUACGUACAAGCAGUGGGAGCACGCUUAGGCGUGUGACUGCGUACCUUUUGUAUAAUGGGUCAGCGACUUAUAUUCUGUAGCAAGGUUAACCGAAUAGGGGAGCCGAAGGGAAACCGAGUCUUAACUGGGCGUUAAGUUGCAGGGUAUAGACCCGAAACCCGGUGAUCUAGCCAUGGGCAGGUUGAAGGUUGGGUAACACUAACUGGAGGACCGAACCGACUAAUGUUGAAAAAUUAGCGGAUGACUUGUGGCUGGGGGUGAAAGGCCAAUCAAACCGGGAGAUAGCUGGUUCUCCCCGAAAGCUAUUUAGGUAGCGCCUCGUGAAUUCAUCUCCGGGGGUAGAGCACUGUUUCGGCAAGGGGGUCAUCCCGACUUACCAACCCGAUGCAAACUGCGAAUACCGGAGAAUGUUAUCACGGGAGACACACGGCGGGUGCUAACGUCCGUCGUGAAGAGGGAAACAACCCAGACCGCCAGCUAAGGUCCCAAAGUCAUGGUUAAGUGGGAAACGAUGUGGGAAGGCCCAGACAGCCAGGAUGUUGGCUUAGAAGCAGCCAUCAUUUAAAGAAAGCGUAAUAGCUCACUGGUCGAGUCGGCCUGCGCGGAAGAUGUAACGGGGCUAAACCAUGCACCGAAGCUGCGGCAGCGACGCUUAUGCGUUGUUGGGUAGGGGAGCGUUCUGUAAGCCUGUGAAGGUGUGCUGUGAGGCAUGCUGGAGGUAUCAGAAGUGCGAAUGCUGACAUAAGUAACGAUAAAGCGGGUGAAAAGCCCGCUCGCCGGAAGACCAAGGGUUCCUGUCCAACGUUAAUCGGGGCAGGGUGAGUCGACCCCUAAGGCGAGGCCGAAAGGCGUAGUCGAUGGGAAACAGGUUAAUAUUCCUGUACUUGGUGUUACUGCGAAGGGGGGACGGAGAAGGCUAUGUUGGCCGGGCGACGGUUGUCCCGGUUUAAGCGUGUAGGCUGGUUUUCCAGGCAAAUCCGGAAAAUCAAGGCUGAGGCGUGAUGACGAGGCACUACGGUGCUGAAGCAACAAAUGCCCUGCUUCCAGGAAAAGCCUCUAAGCAUCAGGUAACAUCAAAUCGUACCCCAAACCGACACAGGUGGUCAGGUAGAGAAUACCAAGGCGCUUGAGAGAACUCGGGUGAAGGAACUAGGCAAAAUGGUGCCGUAACUUCGGGAGAA